rnacentral:rRNA from 1 species
AGUGAACGCUGGCGGUAGGCCUAACACAUGCAAGUCGAACGGCAGCACAGUAAGAGCUUGCUCUUACGGGUGGCGAGUGGCGGACGGGUGAGGAAUACAUCGGAAUCUACUUUUUCGGGGGGGAUAACGUAGGGAAACUUACGCUAAUACCGCAUACGAUCUACGGGUGAAAGCAGGGGUUCUUCGGACCUUGCGCGAUUGAAUGAGCCGAUGUCGGAUUAGCUAGUUGGCUGGGUAAUGGCCGACCAAGGCGACGAUCCAUAACUGGCCUGAGAGGGUGAUGGGCCAACCUGGAACUGAAAAACGGUCCAGACUCCUAGGGGAGGCAGCGGAGGGGAAUAUUGGACAAUGGGCGCAAGCCGGACCCAGCCAGACCGGGUAGGUGAAGAAGGCCUUCGGGUUGUAAAGCCCGUUUGUUGGGAAAGAAAAGCAGCAGGUUAAUACCCCGCUGUUCUGACGGUACCCAAAGAAUAAGCACCGGCUAACUUCGUG